AACCAAUAUUUUUGGUGACUCAUAAUAACUUUACGGAUCACAUUAUGUGACAUAUCAUUCAAGUUUCUGACCUAUCAGCUUUAGACGGUAGGGUAUUGGCCUACCGUGGCUAUGACGGGUAACGGGGAAUUAGGGUUCGAUUCCGGAGAGGGAGCCUGAGAAACGGCUACCACAUCUAAGGAAGGCAGCAGGCGCGCAAAUUACCCAAUCCUAAUACAGGGAGGUAGUGACAAGAAAUAACAAUACAGAACCUUACGGUUUUGUAAUUGGAAUGAGUUAAGUAUAAACCCCUUAACAAGUAUCAAUUGGAGGGCAAGUCUGGUGCCAGCAGCCGCGGUAAUUCCAGCUCCAAUAGCGUAUAUUAAAGUUGUUGCAGUUAAAAAGCUCGUAGUUAAUCUUCUGUUAAUUUUUAUAUAUAAUAUUUCGAUAUUUAUAUAAUAUUAACAUAAUUCAUAUUACUUUUUAGUAUAUGAAACUUUACUUUGAGAAAAUUAGAGUGCUUAAAGCAGGCUAUUGCCUUGAAUACUCCAGCAUGGAAUAAUAUUAAGGAUUUUUAUUCUUCUUAUUGGUUCUAGAAUAAAAAUGAUGAUUAAUAGGAACAGUUGGGGGCAUUUGUAUUUAACAGUCAGAGGUGAAAUUCUUAGAUUUGUUAAAGACAAACUACUGCGAAAGCAUUUGCCAAGGAUGUUUUCAUUAAUCAAGAACGAAAGUUAGGGGAUCGAAGACGAUCAGAUACCGUCGUAGUCUUA
rnacentral:rRNA from 1 species